UACAGAGGUCCCGAGCGUUGUUCGGAUUCAUUGGGCGUAAAGGGUGCGUAGGCGGUUUGCUAAGUUUGAUGUGAAAUCCCGGGGCUUAACCCUGGAAUUGCAUUGAAUACUGGCGGACUAGAGUCCUGGAGAGGAAACUGGAAUUUACGGUGUAGCAGUGAAAUGCGUAGAGAUCGUAAGGAAGACCAGUGGCGAAGGCGAGUUUCUGGACAGGUACUGACGCUGAGGCACGAAGGCCAGGGGAGCAAACGGG
rnacentral:rRNA from 2 species